rnacentral:rRNA from 1 species
UAUCUCUGUAGAGUCUGCAUAUCAAUAAGCGGAGGAAAAGAAACUAACAAGGAUUCCCUUAGUAACGGCGAGUGAAGCGGGAAGAGCUCAAAUUUGAAAUCUUGCAAGGUUCUACCUUUCACGAAUUGUAGUUUAAAGAAGUGUUUUCUGUUACGAUCAUAAUCAUAAGUUCCUUGGAAUAGGGACAUCAUAGAGGGUGAGAAUCCCGUAUAUUGAUUAUGCAUUUGCUAACUUUGUGAUACACUUUCAAAGAGUCGGAUUGUUUGGGAAUGCAGUCCAAAAUGGGUGGUAAAUUUCAUCUAAGGCUAAAUAUUGGCGAGAGACCGAUAGCGAACAAGUACCGUGAGGGAAAGAUGAAAAGAACUUUGAAAAGAGAGUUAAACAGUACGUGAAAUUGUCAAAAGGGAAGCGUUUGACACCAGUGUUGUUUUUCCGAAAAUCAAUUACGAAUGGCUUGAUUCUGUGUUGUAUUGACCUUAUCAGCUUUCUGCACUUUUUUCGAGUCUUUCUUAAUGCACUUUUCGGUUAACAAGUCAACAUCAAUUUCUUUUGUUGUAAAAGAGUAUUCGGAAGGUGGCUUUCUUUUCGGAGAAAGUGUUUAUAGCCCUAUACUUCUACAAUCGGAGAGAUUGAGGUCUGCAGCGUAGAUCCUUCGGGGUUAGAUACACUUUGUGCUAAGUUGUAGCCUUUCAUAGACAACUUGUUGACUAUGUUUAGUCAUGCGGCUUACUCGCUUAUGCUAUUUUACCUACGCUUAGGAUGUUGAAGAUGUAGCACAUCAU